UAGGGAAUCUUCCGCAAUGGGCGAAAGCCUGACGGAGCAACGCCGCGUGAGUGAAGAAGGAUUUCGGUUCGUAAAGCUCUGUUGUUAGGGAAGAAUGAUUGUGUAGUAACUAUACACAGUAGAGACGGUACCUAACCAGAAAGCCACGGCUAACUACGUGCCAGCAGCCGCGGUAAUACGUAGGUGGCAAGCGUUGUCCGGAAUUAUUGGGCGUAAAGCGCGCGCAGGUGGUUUAAUAAGUCUGAUGUGAAAGCCCACGGCUCAACCGUGGAGGGUCAUUGGAAACUGUUAAACUUGAGUGCAGGAGAGAAAAGUGGAAUUCCUAGUGUAGCGGUGAAAUGCGUAGAGGUUAGGAGGAACACCAGUGGUGAAGGCGGCCUUUUGGCCUGUAACUGACGCUGAGGCUCGAAAGCGUGGGGAGCGAACAGGAUUAGAUACCCUGGUAGUCCACGCCGUAAACGAUGAGUGCUAGGUGUUAGACCUUUUCCGGGGUUUAGUGCCGCAGCUAACGCAUUAAGCACUCCGCCUGGGGAGUACGACCGCAAGGUUG
rnacentral:rRNA from 1 species